rnacentral:tRNA from 1 species
GCCUGGGUGGCUCAGUCGGUUGAGCGUCCGACUUCAGCUCAGGUCAUGAUCUCAGGGUUUGUGGGUUCAAGCCCCGCCUCAGGCU